rnacentral:rRNA from 1 species
UACGGAGGGGCUAGCGUUGUUCGGAAUUACUGGGCGUAAAGCGCACGUAGGCGGCUUUGUAAGUUAGAGGUGAAAGCCCAGAGCUCAACCUCUGGAACUGCCUUUAAGACUGCAUCGCUUGAAUUGUGGAGAGGUAAGUGGAAUUCCGAGUGUAGAGGUGAAAUUCGUAGAUAUUCGGAAGAACACCAGUGGCGAAGGCGACUUACUGACACAUAUUGACGCUGAGGUGCGAAAGCGUGGGGAGCAAACAGGG